rnacentral:rRNA from 1 species
UACGGGGGGGGCAAGCGUUGUUCGGAAUUACUGGGCGUAAAGGGCUCGUAGGCGGCCAACUAAGUCAGACGUGAAAUCCCUCGGCUUAACCGGGGAACUGCGUCUGAUACUGGAUGGCUUGAGGUUGGGAGAGGGAUGCGGAAUUCCAGGUGUAGCGGUGAAAUGCGUAGAUAUCUGGAGGAACACCGGUGGCGAAGGCGGCAUCCUGGACCAAUUCUGACGCUGAUGCGCGAAAGCUAGGGGAGCAAACAGG